GAUCCUGGCUCAGAUUGAACGCUGGCGGCAGGCUUAACACAUGCAAGUCGAGCGGGGUGAGGUGCUUCGGUACUGAUCCUAGCGGCGGACGGGUGAGUAAUGCUUAGGAAUCUGCCAUUUAGUGGGGGACAACAUUCCGAAAGGGAUGCUAAUACCGCAUACGUCUUACGGGAGAAAGCAGGGGAUCUUCGGACCUUGCGCUAAAUGAUGAGCCUAAGUCGGAUUAGCUAGUUGGUGGGUAAA
rnacentral:rRNA from 1 species